UGCUAGUUGUACGAGUUGAGGCUCGUAGCGGAAAGCUCAGUAACACGUGGUCAAGCUACCCUGUAGCGACGGAUAACCUCGGGAAACUGAGGCUAAUACGUCAUAACGCUCGAGAUCUGGAGUGAUUCGAGCCGGAAACGCCUUUGGGGCUACGGGAGGCAACGGCGGUCAAUUAGGUAAACGGGGGGGUAACGGCCCACCGGGCCCUUAAUCGGUACGGUUUGUGAAAGCAAAAGCCCGGAAACGGAUUCGGAGACAAAAUACGGGGCCCUACGGGGCGCACCAGGCGCAAAACCUUUACACUGUACGGAAUUGCAAUAGGGGAACUCCAAUGGUGUGGCAUUAGAGCUCACACUUUUGUAAACGGUAAGGGGUCCUACAAAUAAAAGCUGGGCAAAACCGGUGCCAGCCGCCGCGGUAUUACCGGCGGCUCAAUUGAUGACCGAUUUUAUUGGGCCUAAGGCGUCCGUAGCUGGCCAGGCAAGUCGGUGGGAAAUCCACUUGUUCACCAGGUGGCCGUCCAGGGAACUGGCUUGCCUGGGACCGAAGAUCCAAGGGGUACGUCCGGGUAGGAUGAAUCCUGUAUCCUGGACGGACGCCAUGGCGAAGCACUUGAGACGAUCCGACGUGAGGACGAGCUAGGUCUCGAACCGAUAAUACCGGUAGUCUAGCUGUAACGAUUCGC
rnacentral:rRNA from 1 species